GCAUGGUAAAACGCUUCAGGAGCUGCAGGAGAACCCGUCAGCAUCAAUAAGUUUCAUGUUUAUUUUUCCGUUUCUUUCCAGGCUGUAGCUGUUUAUAUUUAACACCAUUUCUCCUGUAAAUCAGGUUUAUUACGAUCUUAUUAAAGUUUUUACUCCUGCGCAUUAUCCGGUUCAGUGACGGAGCGGUCUUCGCACCGACACAGAAAAACGCAGCAGUGCGAUCACCGCGGGAUCCAGAGUUUGUCAGAGAGAGAGAGAGAGAGAGAGCGAGAGAGAGCGAGAGAGAGAGAGAGAGAGAGACAGAGAGCGAGAGAGAGAGGGUCCGCGUGAUUUACAGCCUGCUGCUGCAUUAGUGUGUGUGUGUGUGUGUGUGUGUGUGUGUGUGUGUGUGUGUGUGUGUGUGUGUGUGUGUAGUCUAUAUAUUUAUAUUUAUACACCGUCAGCUGCUCCUGUGCCAAGAAAAAAAGGACCAAGGGAAAUAAACCGAGCGAGGACACACUCUGUUCCCAGGUAAACAUCAGGAUGGAAAAAACACCACAUGGUCUAUAGCUGUGUGUGUGUGUGAGAGAGAGUGUUAGGCCUUCAGAAGUGCAUUUUCAAUUAGAGAAAGUGUGAAGGCAGAGAGUUAAAACAGUGAGUGUAGAAACUGCAGAGGAUCAACUGAAAGGGAGUGUUUUUAUUUUUUUGUCUUUUUGCACAUUAUUUUCAUUCUUAAGUUUUGUAAAGCACCUUUUGAUUCUCGUCUGUGUAAAGUGCAAAUAAAUAAAACUUACUUAUACUUUCACCUUUGCUGCUGUGUUUUUAAGGAGUAUAAAGGAACAUGUGUGAUUUUUAUUGUGUAUGUGCUUGCAACCUGCACAAAAUUAAUUGAUAGAAUACUUUAAGUAUAUGCAAGUGUUAGUGAUGUCACUUCAGUAAAAUAAAUAGGAGUGCAUGUAUGAGUUUGCAGCUAAUUGAAAUUAACCUGAUUGACUUCAUCACGUGAUAAAAUGUCAGUUAAAAAUCUUAAGUUUCAUGAUGCGCACAAUAACGCUUUGUCUUUUCUCUUACCUACAGUAACAGUGCAUCGUGUGUUAAACUUUGUGUUCUUGUCAGCAUGCAUUAGUGUGUCCCAAGUUUGAUGAAAUAUCAAUCAGAUUAAUGAUCAAAAUGUGAAGCUGCAAAUGUUUAAAAAUAUUUUUCCAAUUUUUCAGUAUUUUAAGAGACAAUAAAAGCUCUAAAAAGCAGAUUAUACAUGAAUUUCCACCACACACACCCUCCAUCACCACGUGUCAGUGUGAAGUCUUUACCUGUGGACUCCUUGCUCUCGCUCCACGGUGUGUGAAGCUCCAUCCUGCAGAGGCUGAGAAGUGACAUUUUCCCUGCAGCUGAAUAUCAGCAGGUUAAAUUCAUGUCAGGACAAAAUACAUCAGUAGUUCUAUAUAUUUAACUCUUCAUCUACUCCAUCUUCAACUUUCAUUGUGGAAAAGACGCUGCAUUUCAUAUUCAUGUAUAAAAAUGUAACUCUUAAUCUUAAAGUCUUUGCAGUGAUUAUGUUUUCAGAUGCUGUCUGCCCAUUACAUCCCAUAAUCUUUUAGUAAUGUCUAACUCUUGUAUAAAACCCUCUCUGAAGUCAUAUUUCUGAACAACAGACAGCACACAAAUCCCAGAACUUUCCUCAAGCUGUUAAUUCUCACUGUUACAUUCUUACUCCGUCUUUAACUGCCCUGGACUUUUAUUUAUUUUGUCUGUGAUCAAAUGUUUCAUACUGCACAUUUGCAGAAGUUUGGAAGCAUUUCCUGUGACUGGUCUUUCGUUUUUUUUUUUCACACUUCUCUAAUUUCUUCCAUCUCUUUGUCUCUGUAAGCCACUUUUGAUGCACUGCGCUGGUGCAUAUUUGUUUUGAAGUGGUGGAAAUGAAAUCGCACACUUUUCAAAAUGUUUAACAUCUGUCACACAGAGUUACUCUGGUCUGAAUCUUAUUUUUGAAAAUGUGUUUUUCCCUUGUUGUAUUUUUUUUUAAUCUCUGUCUGUCCAGAUUAAAUGAAUCAAAUAAGAUCCCAAUCCAGAUAUAUAAAUGUCUAAAUGCUCUUCAGAGUGAACAGAACUAUGGGCUCUUGCUCUGACUCGGUUUACACUGGUUUUUAAAAUGUGUAUUGAUCAGAUCACAAGAGUUGAGACAUCACUUCUUGUCACUUCAGCUGGAAGUUGUCAACGGUAAGGAUAAAACCUGUCAGGUUUGGGGGAUUUGGAAGAGAACUUUGGGGUUAUUACUGUUUGAUUUGACAAAGUACCAGGAGAACCAGG